GGAUGUGAGGGCGAUCUGGCUACGACAUCUGUCACCCAUUGAUUGCCAGGGCUGAUUCAGCCAAUCUGACGAGCUAGGUGAGUGUCCUCUUCCACCCUCACCACUCCAAGUGCGCCCCUCCUGAAGCUGUGUACUCGGUUGAAGGGCAUGACCCUCCCUGAAUAGAGGAGGUCUGGUCUCAGUCAAGGGUAUGCCAGUAGCUGCACUCCCCUGCUAGAACACCCAGACAAGCUCUCAAGAUCAGUCCCUGACUAGUAAGAGAGGUCUUCUUUGAUGAAAGUGGGAAAAGCUGUUUAAUUCUUUCUAUUUGAUUUUUUGUGUCUAUGUGUCUAUGAUA
ensembl:misc_RNA 7SK 7SK RNA